rnacentral:rRNA from 1 species
AGCUCCAAUAGCGUAUAUUAAAGUUGUUGUGGUUAAAAAGCUCGUAGUUGGAUCUCAGUACACGGUCAACGCCCCGCUUCGGUGGGUCACGUUGUACCUGUGUGUCUCAAACGGCUGAAGCCGGGUGCCUUUAAUCGGGCGCCCGGUCGAGGUCGACACGUUUACUUUGAAAAAAUUAGAGUGCUCAAAGCAGGCGAUUCGUCGCUUGAAUAAUGAUGCAUGGAAUAAUGGAAUAGGUCUUCGGUUCUAUUU